UACAGAGGGGGCAAGCGUUGUUCGGAAUUACUGGGCGUAAAGGGCGCGUAGGCGGCCUGCUAAGUCGAACGUGAAAUCCCUGGGCUCAACCCAGGAACUGCGUCCGAUACUGGAAGGCUUGAAUUCGGGAGAGGGAUGCGGAAUUCCAGGUGUAGCGGUGAAAUGCGUAGAUAUCUGGAGGAACACCGGUGGCGAAGGCGGCAUCCUGGACCGGCAUUGACGCUGAGGCGCGAAAGCCAGGGGAGCAAACGGG
rnacentral:rRNA from 1 species